CCUAAGACAUGCAAGUCGAACGGAGCGGCCAUUGAAGACUGAGUGCUUGCACAAAGUUGGAUUUGGGUUUCCCCGCUUAGUGGCGAAAGGGUGAGUAACACGUAGGAAUCUACCUUUGAGACUGGGACAACAGUUGGAAACGACUGCUAAUACCGGAUGAUAUAUCAAACGAUACGUUGUUUGAUAGUAAAAGGAGCCUUUAAAGCUUCGCUUAAAGAUGAGCCUGCGGCGUAUUAGCUAGUUGGUGAGGUAAUGGCUCACCAAGGCGACGAUGCGUAGCCGAACUGAGAGGUUGAUCGGCCACAUUGGGACUGAGACACGGCCCAAACUCCUAUGGGAGACAGCAGUUAGGAAUAUUCGUCAAUGGAGGAAACUCUGAACGAGCAAUGCCGCGUGUGUGAUGACGGUCCUUUGGAUUGUAAAACACUUUUAUUAGGGAAGAACGACUGGUAUAGGAAAUGAUACCAGAGUGACUGUACCUUUUGAAUAAGCCCCGGCUAACUACGUG
rnacentral:rRNA from 1 species